UCAGGCCCUAAACACAUGCAAGUCGAACGAUGAACCACUUCGGUGGGGAUUAGUGGCGAACGGGUGAGUAACACGUGGGCAAUCUGCCCUGCACUCUGGGACAAGCCCUGGAAACGGGGUCUAAUACCGGAUACUGACCCUCGCAGGCAUCUGCGAGGUUCGAAAGCUCCGGCGGUGCAGGAUGAGCCCGCGGCCUAUCAGCUUGUUGGUGAGGUAAUGGCUCACCAAGGCGACGACGGGUAGCCGGCCUGAGAGGGCGACCGGCCACACUGGGACUGAGACACGGCCCAGACUCCUACGGGAGGCAGCAGUGGGGAAUAUUGCACAAUGGGCGAAAGCCUGAUGCAGCGACGCCGCGUGAGGGAUGACGGCCUUCGGGUUGUAAACCUCUUUCAGCAGGGAAGAAGCGAAAGUGACGGUACCUGCAGAAGAAGCGCCGGCUAACUACGUGCCAGCAGCCGCGGUAAUACGUAGGGCGCGAGCGUUGUCCGGAAUUAUUGGGCGUAAAGAGCUCGUAGGCGGCUUGUCACGUCGGUUGUGAAAGCCCGGGGCUUAACCCCGGGUCUGCAGUCGAUACGGGCAGGCUAGAGUUCGGUAGGGGAGAUCGGAAUUCCUGGUGUAGCGGUGAAAUGCGCAGAUAUCAGGAGGAACACCGGUGGCGAAGGCGGAUCUCUGGGCCGAUACUGACGCUGAGGAGCGACGGCA
rnacentral:rRNA from 1 species